GGGAGACGUAGUCUUGUAACGCUCUCUCGCCGGACAUUCCUAAUGGUUAGCGCCCAGCCUGUGAAGAGUCGGGGGUCGGGGAGGGGGUCUCGCUAAGAAGGAGGUUUGCAGACCAUGGCAAAGACUGGAGCUAGAGAUUCGCUGGCCUUGAAGAAGCAAGCUGUCAUGUUGCGAACUGCCUAUGGAGAAAACUAAAUGGCAGGGAACUGCAGACGGCUUCUAGAACUUGAGCGCAGCCUGCAGCUGACAACCAGUAAGAAGCCAGGGCCCUCAGUCACACAACCACAAGGAAAUGAAUUCUGCCAACAACCUGAGAGGUGGCCUCCAGAUGAGAAGACAGCCUGACUUAAACCUUGAUAGCAGUUUUGUGAGACCCUGAGCAAAGAAAACAGAUAAACUGUGCGUAGACUCCUGGUCUACAGAAACUGUGAGAUAAUAAAUGUGUCUUAAGAUACUAUGUUUAUGGUAAUUUAUUAUACAAUAGAAAACUAAUACACUAGACAUUGCUGGAUUAUUUCAUAAAGUGAUUGUACCAAUUUGUACUCUAGAAACGGUAUAUAAGAUACUCUUCACUUGCUAACAGUUAGAAAUGUCUGGCUUUUUAAAUUUUUGCCAAUCUAACAUAUAAAUUACUUGAACAUAAAAACAUGAAAAAUAGAUAUUUACUUAGAAUUAUGCAUUCUGUUGUAUUUCUUUUCUGUUGCAUAAAUGCAAUUAAAUAAAAUAGCAGGCUGGGAACAGUGGCUCAUGCCUGUAAUCCCAGCACUUUGGGAGGCUGAGGCAGGAGGAUCACUUGAACCCAGGAGUUCCAGACCAGCCUGGGCAACAUAGCAAGACCCCCAUCUCAACACACAAAAAAAUUAGUCGGGCAUGGUGAGUCGCACCUGUAAUCCCAGCUAUUCAGGAGACUGAGGUGGGAGGAUCACUUGAGACCAGGAGUCUGAGCACACCACUGCACUUCAGCGUGGGUGGCAGAGCAAGAUAUUGUCUCAAAAAAAAAAAAAAAAAAGCAACUAGUAGUAAUAAAUAGAGAGACUAAUUAAGCAAAUAAUAUGUAUGAGAAAAAUGCAACAAUUUCAUAAGGUUUCUUUCUUUCCUCUGGUAUAGCAAUUUAGCUCUAUUGCAUAUUUGAAUUUUGUAGGCUAUAUCAUCCUAUAUUCUUGAGAUAAAUAAGUGUAAGAAUUUUUUAAAGAAUGUAUACAAUAGAACUAAUGAGAUAGAUAUUACCUAUAUUAAAUAAAAAAUAAUGACAUAUUUCUUUCUGUCCCAUG
ensembl:lncRNA novel transcript